rnacentral:lncRNA from 1 species
AUUUGAUUAAAUAAAAGAGUUGGCUUGCAGCCGUUUUUCCCCUCUUCCCCGCCUUUGUAUUCUUCUUCUCUUCCCUCCCCCAUCUCUUCUUGUUAUUUAUUGAGUUAUUAAUCUCCCUACAUCAAAUUGGUAUCAGAGCAAACCUGGUUUUCUUCAUCAAAAAAUAUUCUAGAAAAAAAAAAGAACAGCGAAAAUUUCAACUCUACCGUCGUCCCAAAUUAGCAGACACCGCCGCCAACACAACUACUUCGUAGUCGCCAUUGUGUACUCUGCAUCACCUUCGACCGUUGUCCAAUAAUUACCAGCAUCAUCUUCUCCAUACACCAAUACCCGCUAUUGCAAAUCUCACAAACAUCUUCAUUAACCCACAAAUCAAAAAUUCACAGAACCUAUUCCUAUAUAUACCACCCUAUGGUGCACUAUCGUAUCAACCAGAAAGUUAAUUCUUGAUGCUCCACACAGACCCCAAUCCAGACAGCUUCCAAAUAAUCAACCUGUUUAUUCUCAAAACCCGAAAAGUUUAAUUCCAGAAAAGUUCAUUAACCUUGCCCGACGUCCAUAACCAGAAACGGAAUCAUCUCUCUCACCGGCGCCCCACUUCGUUGAGGCGUCCCUCGUCGGCCAGUUCCAGUUACCGACCUCUGUAGCGUUCAGUGCGUGGUAUGAAGUAUGGGUUUGGGGGCUGGGGUUAUUAAUUAAGGGGUUGGGUUAUUAGUUAUUGGGUUGGGUUAAUUGGGUUAUUAAUUAAUUGGUUUAAUAAUUAAGUGGGUUGGGUUAUUUGUAUUGCUUGGACUUGGGCUUGUUUAAGGUUUUGAGUGUGAUUUAGGCCCAAAUUUGUGAAAUGGGUUCAUUUAUUAUUUUGUUAUUCUGAUUUUGUAUUAUUUAAAAAAAAAAAUAGUCAAAAAGAAAAAGAAAAAGAAGAG